GUAAAACUACAAAUACAUCUCCUGAAUGCAACUCAGGCGCUUUAAUUAAACUAGGGCCUCCUAGGCAAA
rnacentral:tRNA from 1 species